UUUCCGUACUCCUUUUCUACUUGGAGUCACUUUAUUUAGGAGAACAAAAGAAUUUAUCAGAACUUGACGGAAUGCCAUAUGCUAAACUACAGAAAGACGAACCGGUUCUAUGCCUAAUCCCUAGGACGAAAGCAGAAUGAGUCUAACUUGACGUAUAAGCCGGGCACGGUGGCUCACGCCUGUAAUCCCAGCACUUUGGGAGGCCGAGGCGGGGGGAUCACCUGAGGUCAGGAGUUCGAGACCAGCCUGGCCAACAUGGUGAAA
rnacentral:lncRNA from 1 species